rnacentral:rRNA from 1 species
GUGAACGCUGGCGGUAGGCCUAACCCAUGCCAGUCGAACGGCAGCACAGUAAGAGCUUGCUCUUACGGGUGGCGAGUGGCGGACGGGUGAGGAAUACAUCGGAAUCUACUUUUUCGUGGGGGAUAACGUAGGGAAACUUACGCUAAUACCGCAUACGACCUACGGGUGAAAGCAGGGGAUCUUCGGACCUUGCGCGAUUGAAUGAGCCGAUGUCGGAUUAGCUAGUUGGCGGGGUAAAGGCCCACCAAGGCGACGAUCCGUAGCUGGUCUGAGAGGAUGAUCAGCCACACUGGAACUGAGACACGGUCCAGACUCCUACGGGAGGCAGCAGUGGGGAAUAUUGGACAAUGGGCGCAAGCCUGAUCCAGCCAUACCGCGUGGGUGAAGAAGGCCUUCGGGUUGUAAAGCCCUUUUGUUGGGAAAGAAAAGCAGCAGGUUAAUACCCCGCUGUUCUGACGGUACCCAAAGAAUAGCACCGGCUAACUUCGUG